CAGCGUGCGUCGAUUUCGGCGGACAUGAUCGUGGUGAGGAGCGGCCUGUUCCUGGGAGCUGCCGGUGAUGUGGCCCAGUCUCAGAGCCUGGCGGACCGCGGCAUUUCUCAUGUACUCACCGUUGACUCGCAGGAGCCCCCGUCUCUGGGGAACGUCUGCGCGAAAUUUGUGCAGGCGCUGGACGAGCCCGCCACCGACCUGCUCAGCUUCCUGGACGAGUGUGUGGGCUUUGUGCAGCAGGCACAGGCUGCAGCGGGCGCCGCAGUGUUGGUGCAUUGUCAUGCAGGAGUCAGCAGAAGUGCUGCUGUGGUAACUGCUUUUAUAAUGAAAACCGAUAACCUGAGUUUUGAAGAGGCAUAUGGUACACUUAAAGCCAUUAAACCGGACGUCAGGAUAAAUGAUGGGUUUGUGAAGCAACUGAAGCUGUAUGAAGCGAUGGGCUGCAAAGUGGAUUUAACAAGUGCUGAUUACAAACAGUAUCGACUUCAGAAAGUUACUGAGAAGUACCCAGAACUGCAGCAUUUACCGAGGGAGUUAUUUGCCUUGGAUCCCAUAAGUCUUGGGAAAACAAGUGAAGCAAUCUACAGGUGCAGAAAGUGUAGGCGUUGUUUAUUUCGUGGCUCAAGUAGUUUGACUCAUGAACCUGGAACUGGAGCAACAGCGUUUGCUCACAAGAGGUUGUCUCAAAGCCAGAGGUGGGAUCAGACUAGAUGUACAUCAUAUUUCAUUGAACCUGUGCAGUGGAUGGAGCCUUCACUACUUGGUGUUUUGGAUGGACAGUUGCUUUGCCCAAAGUGCAACUGCAAGCUGGGAUCUUUCAACUGGUACGGUGAUCAGUGUUCCUGUGGACGUUGGGUGACUCCUGCUUUCCAGAUUCACAAGAAUCGAGUUGAUGAAAUGAAACAUUUAAAUUUCAUGAGUGUGGGAAAUGUGAAUAGUUGAAGAGUACAUCCAGUGGAUUGUAUCUGAAAAAAUAAUUAAGUGGAGGAAAAUUUUAUCCUUGUUCCAUCUUAAUCUAAGCUGCAGAUCCUGAGGAAUGCUGCAAUAACUUGAGAUAUCCACUAGAUGGCACUCCAUUACACUGAAGUGUGGGCCAGAACAGUACUUGUACUGCCACCUUCUGACCCAGAGUAGAGUGCUGUUAUUAAACCAGAGCUAUCACCUGAUACCAAAUUGGUUUGACGUUUAGUUGGUGAGAGGUACAUUUUCAAUAAAGAAGUUAUGUCACAAAAUUCAAUAUAAAUUGUAUUAAAAGAUUUAAUGGGUAGAGAUUUACAAAACAUUAUUGACUUUAACAGUAUGAUACUAUUCAUCAGGACAUGCUAAUUCAGAGUAUAAAUAAUGACAAUGAAAAUAAUUUCUUAAAUGUUAGAUUACAUGUUGAAUACUUAAGCACAUAUUUAGUAUUUAUAUUUGUAGCAUGCAAUAACACAGUCAAAGUCUUGUAGACUGUAAAAAUAGAUUUUCAUAGCAUUGCUUGUUGAAAUUUGGAUUAUGUUGACAAAACAAAGAAGCUUUAUAUUGUAUAUUUUCCAUUACAUUUCAAAAUAUUUCAUAGAAUAUUUCAUUUCAUAAACUAUUUCAUUGUUCUACACUAUAUAAUGAAUGCUUGUUUAAAUCUGAUUUAUUUUUAGAAUAAAAAUUAUAGUUAGCAUAUAUAUGUAAACACAAGAAGCUUUAUGAAUUAUUUGAAUAAUGUUUGCUUGAUACAACACAAGGUCGUGGUAUGCAAUUUAACUGACAUAUGAGGAAUAUAUCCAAAUCAUUCCCAAGAUGUUAACAACUAACAGUGUUCCAUGGUAUGUUCCUAUUUAGGUUAGCAAAAAAGCUAAAAAUGCACCAAGCAUUAAAUAUGAUUCCUUUUGUUGAUACAAAUAAAAACAUAAAAUAGAAAUAUUGUGUUGAAUAAUUAGGUUGGUACUCAAUGAUAAAUUAAUAAAUGCAGUAUUUCAAGAAAUUACAUUAGUAAGGAAACUUAUCCACCCUUGAAUGUUGUUGAUAGGAUACUCUGACAAUAUUCUUCUAAUCAGAAUAUUUGAUGUAGUUACACAUACUGUGGUGAUGAAUUUUUUGUCUGAUAUGCAGAAGCAGGGAGGACUUAAAAGUAUUAGAAAAGUGGGAAACUAUAGAGGGAAUGAUCUUUUGGACUGGUGGACAAUAGAGAACAGUGAUGUAUUUUAGAGAUGGAGUUGAUGAAGACAGGAUUUUGAGAUUUGAAGCUGGCGUGAAAUUGAGGGGAACUAAUUGAGGGGAAACCAAGUGGAUUUUCCUUGGUGAUACUUUUAGAACACACAUUUCAGAGUAAUUUGGUUGCUAAGAUAUGGCAGUUUCAAACUUUGUACAAGAAGGUUAGGAAAGGUUUGGUGAGGCAGCUAGUUUUAUCUGAGGUCAAUAAUCCCAUUAGUAUAUAAAGUCUGGAGGCGCUUUUUAAAUCUUAUUUUGCUGUAUUUAAUAACAAAGCAGAUAUUUAAAUCAUUAUAAAGGAUUUUACCACAUCCAAGGUUUUAAAUACUAUUUAUAUUUUUAAAAAGGAUGCUGCUGCUGGUCCAAUCUGUGUUCUCUAAGCAAGGUUUGAAAAAUGGACAUCAUUGCGUUAAACCAUACUGUUGGGUUAGAUGCAGCUCAAUUCUAUCCAAUACUAAAAACAACCACAUGGUCCUCAUUCCAAGUCAGAUGAUCCAAUUAAAUUUAAAAAAAUUAACGAUUGUUAACCCAUCACUGAUUUCACCCUGUACUGUUGGGGAUUUUGGCAAACAAUUGGCUAAGUGAUCACCCCUCAGUUUAGGGCAAUAAGGAAGUGUAGAUGGUUAUUCCCAGUUAUAAUAAUCCCUUUUUAAUAACUUAAUAACAGACCAAUAAGAUUCAUAAGGAUUUAAACCAUAAGAUAAGAACAUAUUAAUCUCUGCUUUAAAUAUAUCUGAUGACUUGGCCUACACAGCUGCAUGUGGCAAUGAAUUUCACAGCUUCACUACCCUUUGGCUAAAGAAAUUCCUCCUCAUCUCUGUUCUAAAGGGACAUCCUUGUAUACUGAGGCUGUGCCCUCUGGUCCUAGACUCCCCCACUAUAGGAAACAUCCUCUCCAUGUCCACUUUUUCUAGGUGUUUCAAUACUCAAUAGGUCUUAAUGAGAUCCCCUUCAUUCUUCUAAACUACAAGGAGUACAGGCCCAGAGCCAUCAAACAUUCCUCGACCAUUAACCCUUUCAUUCCUGUGAUUCUUCCUAUGAAACUCCUCUGAACCUUCUCCAAUGCCACUAAAUAAGGGCCCAAAAUACUCUGAGUAGCUUGACUAAUGUCUUAUAAAGCUUCAACAUUGCAUUCUUAGGAACACUUGACUUAGCAAUUUCUUUUUUUGAUAUAACAGCUAUCACUAAUUUUCAAAGCUUCAGGUAGGAUAGUGAUUCAUGUCUAUUGUCAAAUCUUUUUUCAGACCUAUGAAAGAAUCUGUUUAUUUUUAUUGAAAAUAGGCUAUCAUAGAGGAGUUAAGUAGGGUGAUCCAUUUAUAACCAUAUUUAACCAUAUAACAAUUACAGCACGGAAACAGGCCAUCUUGGCCCUUCUAGUCCGUGCCGAAUGCUUACUCUCACCUAGUCCCACCUACUUGCACUCAGCGCAAAACCCUCCAUUCCUUUCCUGUUCAUAUACCUAUCCAAUUUUUUUUUAAAUGACAAUACCAAACCUGCCUCUACCACUUCUACUGGAAGCUUGUUCCACACAGCUACCACUCUCUGAGUAAAGAAGUUCCCCCUCGUGUUACCCCUAAACUUUUGCCCCUUAACUCUCAACUCAUGUCCUCCUGUUUGAAUCUCCCCUACUCUCAAUGGGAAAAGCCCACACGUCAACUCUAUCUAUCCCUAUCAUAAUUUUAAAUACCUCUAUCAAGUCCCCCCUCAACUUUCUACGCUCCAAAGAAAAAAGAGCUAACUUGUUUAACCUUUCUCUGUAACUUAGGUGCUGAAUCCCAGGUAACAUUAGUAAAUCUCUGUACUCUCUCUAAUUUGUUGACAUCUUUCCUAUAAUUCGGUGACCAGAACUGUACACGAUACUCCAAAUUUGGCCUUGAACAAUUUGUCCCAUAUUAAUCAGUAUUGUGAUGGGCAUUUUAUUAUUAUCUACUCUAAUUCCACAACUGGUGGUUUCACGGCAAGGGUGUCACCACAAUGUCUCUUCCACGAAACCUCUGUGUCCCACACACUCUUCCCAGGGACACACACUGAGAUAAGCAUUAAUGGCUGCUGCAAGAUCAUCAACUCACGAGUAGAUAGGAUGGUAAAGAAGGUGUGUGGCGUUAUUACUUUCAUCAGUCAGGGCAUUGAGUCGAAGUCUUGCAGCUGUAUUAAACCUGGGUUCGGCCACAUUUCAAGUAUUGUGUGCAGUUUUAGUCUUCCCCAUUACAGGAAGAAUGAGGAGGUUGUGAAGUGUGUAAAGAGGAGAUAUUACCAGCAUUGGAUAAUAUUAGCUCUUAGGAAAGGUUGAACAAAAUUGGAAUGUUUUCUCCGGAGCUUAGAAAGCUGAGGGGAUUUGUUACAGAGGUUCAUAGAAUUAUAAGAGGUAUAAAUGGAGGCUUUUUCCCCAGGUGUCUAUUACCAGAGGAAAUCUUUUAGGAGUUAUUAAUUUUUUUAAUAUUUUUAGGGAUUCUUAAAUUAGUUAUUACAGUUUUCUGUUCAUUUUGUUGCUAUUGUUGUAUCCUUAUAUUUUAGUUAUUGUAAUAUAUUUUUGUUUUUAUUUUUUUCAAUGUUACUAGCAUAUAUGAUGUAAACUGAGUGAUUCUAAACCCUGGUUUUCUGCUGUGAAUUUCCGUUUUGGUAUUUACUCUCUUUCUGUUAAUACAGCAUUAACAGAUAGGUGGUGGUGUCUUGACAUUGCAUAUAUGAGCUGCAUUAAAACUCAAACUGAGAUAAAAUUUUAAAAGCAAACACGAGGAAAUCUGCAGAUGCUGGAAAUUCAAGCAACACACACAAAAUGCUGGUGGAACACAGCAGGCCAGGCAGCAUCUACAGGAAUAUCCUUCCUAUAGAUGCUGCCUGGCCUGUUGUGUUCGACCAGCACUUUGUGUGUGCUGGGCUAAAUUUUACUGUGACUAUUAUAUUACUAGCUGGCACAACUUCAAAUGCCUGAAAUUUGUGUUAGUACUAUUCUGUGAUACACCAUAUCCAAUAUAAAAAUGUAAUUUAGAACAAUCUCUGAUAUAAUAUUAAUAACAUGUUUUUUAAUAGAAGAACCAUCAAAAUAUAACAGUAUUCUCGAUCAUGUGUUUUUGAGCUGUUUGCCAGAACAGAUCAUGUAAUGCAGCAUUUUGUUGUUCUUACGUGCUAUCUUUAUAUGAAUCAAUUAUUAUUUAAUAUAAAGAAUACUUAGUGCUAGAGAAAUAACGUACAGAACAUGCUGUCCCUAGAAUACAGGGUACUGUCUCAAUGUAUUUACAGUAUGUAUGAACGCUGAAAUGCAACAAUAUGUUUCAGACCUCUUAUCUAGAAAGUAUCCUUUGUCGUUCUUGGGUCAAACUAGGGUUGGGUUCUUAUAAAUCACUUGCCUCAUAAAAGGGUGAAGUAUUCAUAAACCCCACAAUUAUUCCCUUGUGAGUCUCUAAUUAGCACAAAAUUUAAAUGGUACAAUUUUAAAAGGCAUGCUUUGGAUCCAUGAUAUUAAUGAGAAGUACUUGGUUGCUUCCUUCUUUCAUUAUAUGCAUUUUAAAAUGUUUAUUUUUAUCAAGGCACAUUGGCAGUAGGCAUGAAGGUUCUGGAGCAAUCUUAUAAAACUUACCGAAGAAUUCCACCAUCUCAUUAGAGUUAAUUUAAUGAUGGAUGGGAUUCGUUGGUUUGUUUUCAGGGUUGGUACUAGUCUUCAAAAAAACUUUCUAGCACUUCCAAGCUUAAAUCACUGUCAAUUUUUGGUAUCAUGUUGAGUUUAUUUCCAUACAGUUUCAAUGCGAUGUGAGGUCUCACGAAACACACUUUGCGUCUUAUCAGUUUUAAGAAGUCAUUGAUGCCACUGACUUUUCAUUAUACACUCAAAGGUAAUUCAGCAAUCUAAAGCAUCCCACAAUUAAACUGCAGUUGUUUCCAAUUUGUCUUCAUUUCUGUACACAAAAGUGAAAUAUUUGAAGUUGAGCAUAUGCUUAUAAUGAAUAUGCAAGAAUUGACAUACACCAAAAUGAUUUGCAUAUAACACUGUUUCUGUGUUUUAAAAUGACUUCUAUCUAUAUUAUGUGUUUCCCUGUAUUUUCGGGUCAACGAUGAGGCAGUAACAUGUUUCUGAUCACAAUAAAUGCUGUCCUCCAAGGUCUGAAAGAAGUAUUUCCUAUUCCAAUGCUGAUUGUUGUCAUCUAGCAAAGUGACAUUGUCAAGCAUACUGAAGAGCAAAUCUCA